rfam:Methylophilales bacterium HTCC2181 1100893002543, whole genome shotgun sequence.
CUUGGCGGACAUAGCGUGUUGGACCCACUCCUUCCCAUCUCGAACAGGACAGUGAAACGAUACAGCGCCGAUGAUAGUGUAGUCUUUUCUAUGCGAACGUAGGACACUGCCAAGC